GACACAGUCAGAUACAACAAAAGAAAAAUUAGAUAAAUAAAUACGUUUCUCAGUUCUGAUAAAUAGGUUUAUCAGAUUCAUAAGCACCACUUAGAAAGCGAUUGUGUGAAAUGAGCACAUCCCCAAUGGUGGGAGUAAUCCAUCGUAAAUCCAGUUCAGAAACAGCUUACAGAAGCAGUGUAGAUUUGACAGAGAAAUUGCAAAGAAAACAGCUCACUG
rnacentral:lncRNA from 1 species